ACCCUGAUAGCUUAUGUGGUUAAAGCGUAGAACUGAAGAUUCUAAGAACUAUGUUCGAGUCAUGGUCGGGGUA
rnacentral:tRNA from 1 species